AUUGGGAAUAAGUUAAUGAAAAAUGUUCAUCCAAUUACUCAAAGAUUUGGCCCACUUUUGAAAAUUUAGUGCUCUGUAUACGCACGUCCUAUACUAACAACUUCCUAGUCCAAAGAAAGCAAUAAGUGAACUCCUGAAUGCAGAAUUGCAGAAGGCAAAUAACUGAGACUAUUCAGCUAGUUAAAGAACACAGUAAUCCAUUGGGGAUUGAGCAGUAAAGAAAAAGAAUAUAGAUGCAACAUUUACUUUUAUACCAAGAAAACUGAACACAAAGACCGUAAUAAAACAAUCAAAGCAAGGAAUUGAAGUUGACCAAAAGAAACAAAAUCUAAGAAAUGGACUGAUGAUUCUUUCAGAAUAGAUUUAUAAAGCAGUCUUAAAUUUAUACCACUAGCAGCAAAAGAAUCAAAAUUUAAGCAUUAACUUUCAUGCUGACUGCAGAAGUAACCAUCACAUCAAAGUCCUAUAUGUAAGCUAUAAGUCAGACUAUAUUACCUCCAAAAUGGUGCAAAACAAUGG
rnacentral:misc_RNA from 1 species